rnacentral:rRNA from 1 species
GGCAGGCCUAACACAUGCAAGUCGAGCGGAAACGAGUUAUCUGAACCUUCGGGGAACGAUAACGGCGUCGAGCGGCGGACGGGUGAGUAAUGCCUAGGAAAUUGCCCUGAUGUGGGGGAUAACCAUUGGAAACGAUGGCUAAUACCGCAUAAUGCCUACGGGCCAAAGAGGGGGACCUUCGGGCCUCUCGCGUCAGGAUAUGCCUAGGUGGGAUUAGCUAGUUGGUGAGGUAAUGGCUCACCAAGGCGACGAUCCCUAGCUGGUCUGAGAGGAUGAUCAGCCACACUGGAACUGAGACACGGUCCAGACUCCUACGGGAGGCAGCAGUGGGGAAUAUUGCACAAUGGGCGCAAGCCUGAUGCAGCCAUGCCGUGUGUGUGAAGAAGGCCUUCGGGUUGUAAAGCACUUUCAGUCGUGAGGAAGGUGGUGUAGUUAAUAGCUGCAUUAUUUGACGUUAGCGACAGAAGAAGCACCGGCUAACUCCGUGCCAGCAGCCGCGGUAAUACGGAGGGUGCGAGCGUUAAUCGGAAUUACUGGGCGUAAAGCGCAUGCAGGUGGUUUGUUAAGUCAGAUGUGAAAGCCCGGGGCUCAACCUCGGAAUAGCAUUUGAAACUGGCAGACUAGAGUACUGUAGAGGGGGGUAGAAUUUCAGGUGUAGCGGUGAAAUGCGUAGAGAUCUGAAGGAAUACCGGUGGCGAAGGCGGCCCCCCGGACAGAUACUGACACUCAGAUGCGAAAGCGUGGGGAGCAAACAGGAUUAGAUACC